ACGUAGGGUGCAAGCGUUGUCCGGAAUUAUUGGGCGUAAAGAGCUCGUAGGCGGUUUGUCACGUCGGAUGUGAAACCCUGAGGCUCAACCUCAGGCCUGCAUUCGAUACGGGCAGACUAGAAUUCGGCAGGGGAGACUGGAAUUCCUGGUGUAGCGGUGAAAUGCGCAGAUAUCAGGAGGAACACCGGUGGCGAAGGCGGGUCUCUGGGCCGAUAUUGACGCUGAGGAGCGAAAGCGUGGGGAGCAAACAGGA
rnacentral:rRNA from 1 species